AUUGAACGCUGGCGGCAGGCCUAACACAUGCAAGUCGAGCGGAGCGGCGGACGGGUAAGUAAUGCCUAGGUAUCUGCCUGGUAGUGGGGGAUAACGUCCGGAAACGGGAGCUAAUACCGCAUACUAUCAGAUGAGCCUAGGCCGGAUUAGCUAGGUGGUGGGGUAAAGGCCUACCAAGGCGACGAUCCGUAACUGGUCUGAGAGGAUGAUCAUUCACACUGGAACUGAGACACGGUCCCGACUCCUACGGGAGGCAGCAGUUGGGAAUAUUGGAAAAUGGGCGAAAGCCUGAUCCAGCCAAGCCGCGUGUGUUAAGAAGGUCUUCGGAUUGUAAAGCACUUUAAGUUGGGAGGCGUUACCAACAGAAUAAACACCGGCUAACUUCGUGCCAGCAGCCGCGGUAAUUC
rnacentral:rRNA from 1 species